CCUACGGGAGGCAGCAGUGGGGGAUAUUGCACAAUGGGGGAAACCCUGAUGCAGCGACGCCGCGUGUGGGAAGACGGUCCUCUGGAUUGUAAACCACUGUCCCCAGGGACGAAGAUGACGGUACCUGGGGAGGAAGCUCCGGCUAACUACGUGCCAGCAGCCGCGGUAAUACGUAGGGAGCGAGCGUUGUCCGGAAUUACUGGGUGUAAGGGGAGCGUAGGCGGGACUGCAAGUUGGGUGUCAAAUCUACCGGCUCAACCGGUAGCCGCACUCAAAACUGCAGUUCUUGAGUGAAGUAGAGGCAGGCGGAAUUCCUAGUGUAGCGGUGAAAUGCGUAGAUAUACGGAGGAACACCAGUGGCGAAGGCGGAUUGCUGGACAGUAACUGACGCUGAGGCGCGAAAGCGUGGGGAGCAAACAGGAUUAGAUACCCGAGUAGUC
rnacentral:rRNA from 1 species